GGGCACAUGGUGUAGUUGGUUUAUCACGCCCGCUUAGCAUGCUUCUUGCGGGAGGUGUUGGGUUCAAUUCCCAAUGUGUCCA